CCCUUAGAUGUUCUGGGCCGCACGCGCGCUACACUGAUACGUUCAACAAGUUUAUAACCUUGAUCGAUAGGUCUGGGUAAUCUUUUGAAUGCGUAUCGUGCUAGGGAUAGAUUAUUGCAAUUAUUAAUCUUGAACGAGGAAUUCCUAGUAAACGCAAGUCAUCAGCUUGCAUUGAUUACGUCCCUGCCCUUUGUACACACCGCCCGUCGCACCUACCGAUUGGAUGGUCCGGUGAAGCCUCGGGAUUGUGGUUCUUGCCGCUUUAUUGUGGCGUGACCGCGAGAACUUGUCUAAACCUUAUCAUCUAGAGGAAGGUGAAGUCGUAACA
rnacentral:rRNA from 1 species